CUCUCUAAAAUCCCAUUUUCGUAUCAAUACUCUCUCUCUCUCUCUCUUUCUUUCUCUCUCUACAAAUCCUCAUCUCUGUGAACUCCCACCUUGCUCGCAUCCACGGUCACACACUAAUGUUGUUGUUCCUCUUCUCCAUGUGUUCUUACUCUUCUUCCAAAUUUCUCUUGCUGGUGAAAAUUUCUGUUGCUACAUUAGCUUCCCCAAUGACUUGAUUGAAACUUACCCUCUUGCGCCUAAAAUUUUGGUUUUCCCGCGAUAUACUCCCUCGUAUUGAUUGAUAACACCCUCUUCCUCCAUCGUAGGCCCUAAUUCGUCUUCUUCUUCUUCUUCUUCUUCCGUUUCUGCAACAUUGAGGCUCAUACGACUGGGGAAACGAAAUGGUUUAGAUGAUAGUUUAGCUACAUCAUCCUCUAAUUAGUUGUGGCUCCAGAGAAACGAAAUGGUUUAGAUGAUGCUUUAGACCGACUGGGAACUCCAUUAGUGAGAAAAUUUCCUCUGCACAAUCUUCGAAUCAACCCCUUGAACGAGAGGGUCUUGGGUAUCACAAAACCAUAAGUUAUUUUCCCUCUCUCCCAUCAUCUCCCUGGGUAUCUAGGUCUGGAACUAUCUCUUGGUCCUCUGGUCCCCAGUAGCUGAAACCCCAAAUACUAGUACAUUAUUUUCCUCUCUCACUUCAAUUUCUUCUAGUUUUUGGUUAUUUGCUUCAUGACUUACAAUUAAAUCAUCACACAAGAGGAAUCCGUGGUGAAGGUGGAAGGAAUUUCAUCACUGCUCACUCAGAAGAUUGGGGUUUCACACCAGCAGAGAACGGACAGCAAGGAGCUCUUAUUGAUCUCUUGAGGCCGUCUUCAGAUGGGCAGACAUCAAUCUCAUUGGAGUCAAGGAACCCAAGUAUAUUCCUAGAGGGGAAUUUAGAGGUUGGGUAUCAGGCGUCUUGAUUUUUCAAUUGCUCGAUCUCAAUACACGGAGGUUAUCCAAGGGUAUUUUUGAGAUAUUUCAAUCACAGCUUUAAUCUAAUCAAAUUAACUAAAUUUCACUACUGAUUUGUUUGAUUGGAUUGAUGAUCUAUUGUUUAAUAAGAAUUUGAAUGUGUAGAUUUGGGAACAAAAAUAGUUUUACCUAUCAUUUUGUUUGAGGAUGAUAUAAAUAUUUAACUUGUAUAGAUUUAUCUGAUGUUAAUACUUUUGGACGAUGUAAUCAUUAAAUGUCUAGUUGGAUCUACUAAUGUGUGACAACAGGGUAAAUAUGUAUAUGAAAAAAUCAUAAUUAAUUUUUUUUUUUACUUAAAAACUUUUAGGGACAGAAUUUUGUUGUCCCUAAAUAUUCCAGACCUUGUUAGUUGGGACGGAAUAUAUCUGUCUCUAAAAGGAAGACCCUAUUCGCAACAAGAAAUUCCGUCCUAAAAAACAAAGUUCUGAAAUUUCUUACCAUGGAAAAAUUCCAUCUCAAAUAAUUUGUGCUCUUUUGCGACGGAAAUAAACUGUCGCUACAUGGUCCUGACAACACAGCAUUUACGACAAAUAUUUUUGUCACUUUAGUAAUUAUUUGUGACGGAAAAUAACCGUCUAGAAAAUUGUCCCAAUUGAUCCCUUAGGGACGAAUUUUUUUUUUUGUCGCUUAAAUUAUGCGAUGGCUGUUGUAACGACAGUUGUGCGACGGAAAAUUAUACUGUCCCUAAUAAAUAUUAGCGACAAUAUUUUCGUAUUUGUGACAGAAAAUUUCCGUCCCAAAAACCCUUUUUUCUUGUAGUGACUUUUCAUUUUUAUUCUUGAACUAUCAAUACUAAUUGUUUCAACUAAAUUUAGUACCACACUUUGACACAUGCUUGUCAUGCUAUUGAUCUCCACACCCCUACCCCCACCCCAAAUCAGAUACUAAAAUUUUCUAAAAAAUAAAAACUCCAAUACUAAAAUGAAGAAAUCCAUAGUUGAUUCAAUGACUCUACAAUUUAGUCAAGUUGUCAAUGAACCAGCCUAUAUUUGACCUAAAAGGUUGAAAAAUGAUUCAAGGUGAGUUUUAAUUUGAGCAGUUUUAAUUUUCAGGUAGAAAAACCAAUGAAGAUAAAAUUUCUAGCAUAGACUGUAGAUAAGUAAACUACUAAUAGGCCUAUUCCUGGUGAUGAGCUUAAGGAUUAACACUAUUAAUUAAUAUAAUCUUUUCUUGGUCCUUGAACACAAUGAUACUUUGAUAAGUGGUUGAUCAUGUGUCACUCUUUGAUUGGUAUCUUCUAGGUACAAAUAUGAUCUUUCCCAUCCAUUAUACUUUGAUAAGUGGUUGAUCAUGUGGAUUGUCCAUGCUAUGUGACAAAUCUUGCUAUAUAUCCAUAUGAAUCGUAUAGCACACCAUGUACUGAGUAUUCAUUAUCUUUGUAUUUUCAAGCAUUAAAUUGUUCAAAAAUUUGAGUUUUCAAACCUUGUAGUUCACAAUUUUGGAAACCAAUUGAGCUACCAUGUUCUUUGAUACUAAAAAAAAAAAAAAAAUGCUUGUAACAUCUUUUUUUUCUUGUUGAACUCAGUGACCUAGUAAUCGGUAUUAGAUACAAGCCGAUACAAAUCUGAUACUAAUCUAGAUAGGCCUGUAUAGGACAAAUUUGCCACUGGUUUCUAUUAAAAUUCUUGAUUUUUUUACCAUUUUAAGGUUAGUAUCGAUCCAUCAAUACAGACUGAUACAAAAUCUUCCAAGAAUCGAUAUCAGCCAUAGCAUUGUAUCGUGGUUGAAAUGUAAUUUUUAUUGAAAUAGCAUCAAACACUUUACGAAGGUGGUGCUAAUUCCAAAUUUUUAUUCUGUUAAAAAUAUUUGUUUUUGCUAGUUUACCUAUUGUACUAUCUUUGCAAAUAGCUAUUUGUAGAUUUAUUGGACAUUCGACAAACUACAAUAUUACUAUUUUUCCAUUUCUCUAAAACUUUUUCACUUUUCUUAAUUUUAUUUUAUAUUUUGAAAUUGCAUGUUGGCAUAAAAAUAAUGUUACAUGUGCUGAAUAAUUACUAUUUGGUACAUGUGGCAGAUCUCAUCUAGCCGUGUGCUACUUUGUUAUUGUAUUUGUCUUUUGCCUCCCUUAACUUUUACUUUUUGUCUUCUUUGUCCUUGAUUGGAUUAUGUUGUCGACCUCAUUAAGUUGGGAUAAGGCUUUGUUAUUGUUGUUGUAGUACCAAAUAAUUACCAUUAUUGUUCUUUUUUUUUUGUUCAUACUACCAUUUCUUAAUAGGUUCAAUUUCUAUUACAUACAUUUUUUUCCUCAAUGGAUGCAAGAAAAUAGUAUUUAGUAAUGCAAAGGAUAUGACAAUCCGCUACAAGGAUGAGACCUCAAGGGCAAGUAAAUUACAUUUCACUUGUUUAUUUGAUAUCAAUUCAUCCUUGAAUGCCUUCUCUUACUGUUAGCUACUGGUAUCUCAUGCACGUGGAUUCUGGGAUUU